GACUACCUGGAUUAAGCAUUCUGUCCAGAGGGAUAACACCAGGUUUUCCUUUUCCUCAUCUGUAGUUAGUUUCAGGUCCUUGACACAUAUAGUCGAGUGGCCCCAGAUUUGCUUCAGAGCGUCCAUAUGUGAUAAAGGAAAGCGGAGUCCGUGAGACUGAAAGAGGAGAAACUAGUCAGGCUACAGGUCCCAGCUCGUAUCUUUUAAAGCCGGUGGACGUGUGUGUCUGUCACAGAACCGACUGGCGUGAUCAUCGCUGUGCAGGGGCUCUGUCGAGUGUGUGAAACGUCAGCCCCCGCUGCAGGCCCUAGCCAUAACUCCCCAGGAAAGACCGGUGGAAACCUUAACAAAGAUCCAGAGGUCGCAGGGGAGACAGGUCCUGCGUGGGGAGAUGAAACUGCUGGAACACACAGCGCUGGCGGCUGCCCAGCGGUAUGAACACAACUAGUGUCACCAAACUGUGGACUUAAAAAUGGUGAAAGUGGAAUAUUCUCUUAAGUCUUUUACUGCAAUUAAAAAAACACCUUUAGAGAGCGAGCGAGCACAGGCGCAGGUGGUCACUAAGCCGCGGCUGUGGUCCCUUGGCCCAGGCUGGGGGAGCCUUGCUGGACCACCCCCAAGGCUCCCGAUGUCCCCGCAGGUGUCCCCGCAGGGUGUCCCGGGGGUGCAGGCACGACCCGAAGGGCUCCGAGGCUGCCAGGGGCCUGAGAGAAGAACCCCGAGGGGGAUCGGAGAUCUGGGGGGCGGGCGGCUUACCUGUUCUGGUAGGUGCUGAUGGUCACGUGGGUAGAGUGCGCCAGCCCCGGAGGGACAUCUGCCUGGUGAACCGUCCCCCUGGGGAAGUACAGGACAUCUCCCGGCUGAGGGGGGACACACGGGGUUGGGGUGAGCAGGGAAGGCGCCCGCUCAGCCCUCAUGGUCUUCCGGGGACCGAAGCAGGCUCCGAGGGUCGGGCCGCAUCUAGAACCUGCCGCCACGCCACCCUGGGGGGCCAGUCACUGCGAGCCCCCAGUCUGCACGAGGUCGGGGACCCGAAGUCACUUGCUUGGCUCACCGGCUGAGACCAGGUGCAGGUGAAUCUGGGCCCCCACCCACGGAUCGGGGUGGCAACCCCAACGCCCUGCACCCCCUCCAGCAGCGACCGGGUGCUGCCACCGACUGGCUAGGGGCCCCAGGAAAUCAGGGAGCCCCCAAAGCCUCAGUCCCCUCCCCUGUGAAACGGAGGCCAGGGCCUGACACGGGAUCACGGGCCAGGCCACGUGCAGAGGCCGGUGCAGAGGUCCAGGCCGUGCCCACAGGUGGUCUCCCGGACAGACGGACAGACAAACCACGUGACCCUGCCUGUCCCGGGCCGUCAGUCGCACCCUUGGGCAGGUGAACCUCCUCCACCAGUCCUCGUGUCCCCCCAGCCAUGAGGCGACACAAACCUCGCCCCUCAACCACUCCUGAAGCUGCCACCUCCCUGUCCCCCGGCGCAAAACAUCAACAGCGGCACCGCGAGCACGGGUCCCCCGCGCAGCUUGAUGCGUAGAUUGAGAACAAACAAAACAAACCACCUUGGGACCCCUGGGCGGCUCAGCGGUUGGGCGCCUGCCUUCCACUCAGGUCGUGACCCCGAGAUCCGGGAUGGAGUCCCACGUCGGGCUCCCUGCAGGG